rnacentral:rRNA from 1 species
UAGGGAAUCUUCCACAAUGGGCGCAAGCCUGAUGGAGCAACACCGCGUGAGUGAAGAAGGGUUUCGGCCCGUAAAGCUCUGUUGUUAAAGAAGAACACGUAUGAGAGUAACUGUUCAUACGUUGACGGUAUUUAACCAGAAAGUCACGGCUAACUACGUGUCAG